GACGAACGCUGGCGGCGUGCUUAACACAUGCAAGUCGAACGGAAAGGCCCUGCUUUUGUGGGGUGCUCGAGUGGCGAACGGGUGAGUAACACGUGAGUAACCUGCCCUUGACUUUGGGAUAACAUCAGGAAACUGGGGCGAAUACCGGAUAGGAGCUCCUGCUGCACGGUGGGGGUUGGAAAGAUUCGGCGGUUGGGGAUGGACUCGCGGCUUAUCAGCUGGAUGGUGGGGUAGUGGCUUACCAAGCCUUUGACGGGUAGCCGGCAUGAGAGGGGGACCGGCCACCUGAGGACUGAGGUAGGGCCCAGACUCCUACGGGAGGCAGAAGUGGAGAAUAUUGCGCAAUGGGCGGGAGCCUGAUACAGCAACGCCGCGUGCGGGAUGCCGGGCUACGAGUUGUAAACCGCUUUCGCCUGUGACGAAGCGUGAGUGACGGUAAUGGGUAAAGAAGCACCGGCUAACUACGUG
rnacentral:rRNA from 1 species